AAGACUUUAAGUUAAUAAAACUUUUAUCCUUCAAAGCUAAAAAUAGAGAAAAUAUCUUUAAGUCUUA
rnacentral:tRNA from 1 species